rnacentral:rRNA from 1 species
GACGAACGCUGGCGGCGUGCCUAAUACAUGCAAGUCGAGCGCAGGAAACUGACGGAACUCUUCGGAGGGAAGGCAGCGGAAUGAGCGGCGGACGGGUGAGUAACACGUAAGGAACCUGCCUCAAGGAUUGGGAUAACCCCGAGAAAUCGGAGCUAAUACCGGAUAGUUCAACGGACCGCAUGGUCCGCUGAUGAAAGGCGCUCCGGCGUCACCUUGAGAUGGCCUUGCGGUGCAUUAGCUAGUUGGUGGGGUAACGGCCCACCAAGGCGACGAUGAAUAGCCGCCCUGCGCGGGUGAUCGGCCACACUGGGGCUGAGACACGGCCCAGACUCCUACGGGAGGCAGCAGUAGGGAAUCUUCCACAAUGGACGAAAGUCUGAUGGAGCAACGCCGCGUGAGUGAUGAAGGUUUUCGGAACGUAAAACUCUGUUGUAAGGGAAGAACACGUACGAGAGGAAAUGCUCGUACCUUGACGGUACCUUACGAGAAAGCCACGGCUAACUACGUGCCAGCAGCCGCAGUAA